CCGGAUGCGGAUCUCGAAAGCCUGUCCCAGUUCGGACUGGAGUCUGCAACCCGACUCCACGAAGUUGGAUUCGCUAGUAAUCGCGCAUCAGCCAUGGCGCGGUGAAUACGUUCCCGGGCCUUGUACACACCGCCCGUCAAGCCAUGGGAGCCGGGGGCGCCUGAAGUCCGGGACCGCGAGGACCGGCCUAGGGCGAAACUGGUAACGUGGGGCUAAGUCGUAACAAGGUACC
rnacentral:rRNA from 1 species